AUUGAACGCUGGCGGCAGGCCUAACACAUGCAAGUCGAGCGGAUGAAGGGAGCUUGCUCCUGGCUUCAGCGGCGGACGGGUGAGUAAUGCCUAGGAAUCUGCCUGGUCGUGGGGGAUAACGUCCGGAAACGGGCGCUAAUACCGCAUACGUCCUGAGGGUGAAAGUGGGGGAUCUUCGGACCUCACGCUAUCAGAUGAGCCUAGGUCGGAUUAGCUAGUUGGUGGGGUAAAGGCCUACCAAGGCGACGAUCCGUAACUGGUCUGAGAGGAUGAUCAGUCACACUGGAACUGAGACACGGUCCAGACUCCUACGGGAGGCAGCAGUGGGGAAUAUUGGACAAUGGGCGAAAGCCUGAUCCAGCCAUGCCGCGUGUGUGAAGAAGGUCUUCGGAUCGUAAAGCACUUUAAGUUGGGAGGAAGGGCAGUAAGUUAAUACCUUGCUGUUUUGACGUUACCAACAGAAUAAGCACCGGCUAACUUCGUG
rnacentral:rRNA from 1 species